UACGUAGGGUGCGAGCGUUGUCCGGAAUUAUUGGGCGUAAAGAGCUUGUAGGCGGUUUGUCGCGUCUGCUGUGAAAAUCCGGGGCUCAACCCCGGACUUGCAGUGGGUACGGGCAGACUAGAGUGUGGUAGGGGAGACUGGAAUUCCUGGUGUAGCGGUGAAAUGCGUAGAUAUCUGGAGGAACACCGGUGGCGAAGGCGGCAUCCUGGACCGAUACUGACGCUGAGGAGCGAAAGCCAGGGGAGCAAACGGG
rnacentral:rRNA from 1 species